GAAUUGAAGCCCCGGUGAACGGCGGCCGUAACUAUAACGGUCCUAAGGUAGCGAAAUUCCUUGUCGGGUAAGUUCCGACCUGCACGAAUGGCGUAACGAUUUCCCCACUGUCUCCAACAUAGACUCAGUGAAAUUGAAUUCUCGGUUAAGAUGCCGAGUAACCGCGGUUAGACGGAAAGACCCCGUGCACCUUUACUGCAGCUUUGUAUUGGUAUUAGGGAACAGAUGUGUAGCAUAGGUGGGAGACUUUGAAGGAGUGGCGCUAGCCAUUCCGGAGUCACUAGUGAAAUACCACUCUUCUGUUCCUUGAUGCCUAACCAUACACCGUUAUCCGGUGUUGGGACCAUGCAUGGUGGGCAGUUUGACUGGGGCGGUCGCCUCCCAAAGAGUAACGGAGGCGCGCGAUGGUAGGCUCAGAACGCUUGGAAACCGUUCGUCGAGUGCAAUGGCAUAAGCCUGCCUGACUGCGAGACCCACAAGUCGAGCAGAGACGAAAGUCGGUCAUAGUGAUCCGGUGGCACUUCGUGGAAGGGCCAUCGCUCAACGGAUAAAAGGUACGCCGGGGAUAACAGGCUGAUCUCUCCCAAGAGUCCAUAUCGACGGGGAGGUUUGGCACCUCGAUGUCGGCUCAUCGCAUCCUGGGGCUGAAGCAGGUCCCAAGGGUUUGGCUGUUCGCCAAUUAAAGCGGUACGCGAGCUGGGUUUAGAACGUCGUGAGACAGUUCGGUCCCUAUCUGCCAUGGUUGUGGAAGCUUGAGAGGAUCUGCCCUUAGUACGAGAGGACCGGGGUGGACAUACCUCUGGUGUACCUGUUGUGGCGCCAGCUGCAUCGCAGGGUAGCUAAGUAUGGAUGAGAUAAGCGCUGAAAGCAUCUAAGCACGAAACUCGCCUCAAGAUGAGAUUUCUUUUAAGGGCCGUGGAAGACUACCACGUUGAUAGGCUACAGGUGUAAAGACAGUGAUGUCAUAGCCGAGUAGUACUAAUUACCCGUAGACUUACAAA
rnacentral:rRNA from 1 species